GCGGGUAUGGCGGAAUUGGCAGACGCGCUAGAUUCAGGUUCUAGUGGGGCAACUCGUACAGGUUCAAGUCCUGCUACCCGCA
rnacentral:tRNA from 1 species